UUCCUACCCUUCUCCUUCUCUCGCCACUGUGCUCCCUGCACAAACUACAGUAAGAAUGUUAGGUGUAAACGGGGUUUGGGUAACUGGUCAGGAGGUGUUUCUGUCUCCUUCUGACAGCAAAAUGAUGUACAGAAAGUCUGCGACAUUGUCAUUUCUUUUCG
rnacentral:ribozyme from 1 species